GGCGCCGGGUUCAGGGUGGUCAAGAAUGCUCUGACCCCGGGCGGAGGCUUACCAUUGCACUUCGGUGAGUUGAAACUAGCGACGGACCCUAACCGGGUGCACUCGGGUGUGAAGUUUUUGUCAGUGCGUCGGUGGCACAGCGAUUAGGACUCU
rnacentral:snRNA from 15 species